rnacentral:sRNA from 1 species
GUUUCUGGACACGCCCUCUUCAAAAGGACAGCCAGAGGUCCCUUCCUCUGAGGCUUUGGACGCUUGCCUGCUUCUAUUUCUCAGGAACAGAUAAGCCUAAUCCUUCGAGAGAAAGGCCUAAGCCCAUGAAUCAUUAAACAAUACGAAUACCACAGGGCAGUUAGUUUUCAGGCACCGUCUACGUUUAGGGUCCUUGGAGGCCACAGGACAUGAGAUCCUCUGAUGGGUGGGAAGUUGUGAUGAGUUACUAAGAGAAGGUAUGGUGAGCUCUUAGUUCAGUACUUGGCUUAUAAUAAAUGCUCAAGGAGUGAGAAUUCAUGGUGCUGCGGUCGAAAGCUUACACAUGAGUUCUGAGAGUGAACAUCUCCAGCCCUCAAAAUUGUUGUCCUGUCCUACUCUGCUGUUACAACCUAGCCAUCGCAUGUUGACAAACUCCUAUCAGGAAUGCACAGCAGGCUUCACGUUAUGUUUCUGAGAUUUACUAUGUAGACCCUCGGAGACCACAUGUGUGGUAGUACACUGAGGAGGAUCAGGAAUCCAGUGUUAGCCUGAGCUAUGUAAGGAGAAACCUACUUCAAAGCAAACAAGGACCGGUGGGCGGAGCAACCUAAGUGCUUCGUUUUACUCUUUACUGGUCCAUAUUGCAGUUGUCGAGAAAAGUAAUCUGCAUUUCUUCUGGGUGUGAAAGAAAGGACUACAAACCAGAAGAACUUGCAAAGUCAUUGUGAGUCUCACCUUUUGUCUCAGGGGAUUGUGCAUGCCGGGCUUCCUCCUUAGGUAGCUGGAAGCUUUGUUUUGGGAGCCUUAACACUCCCUGUAUAAACAGAAGGAGUCACUAACACCCAGGGCCUCUCAGUUCUUUUCAUUUCCCUUGACAUUGGUAGGAUCUCAUAACACUGUUUAUGCUUUCCUUUCAAACCUAUUCCUCUCACUUGGCCGGAAACAAGCUCUGCCAUUCGGAAAGCCUAACUAACUCACAAGUUCUAAGUAUUUAGAUCAAAGGAGAAAAGAAAAGGAAAAAAAAAAAAAAAGACCCAUGGAGAAUUCAUUGCUGUAGAAAGAGAUAACACUUUCCACCCAGUUUUUGUUUGAGGAUUCUUGCUUUUGUUUUUGUUUGAGGAUUCUAGCUUUUGUUUUUGUUUUUGUUUGAGGAUUCUUGCUUUUGUUUUUGUUUUUGCUAUAUAUGAGAACAUCUGAGGAUUUAAAUUCCUUAAUGCAAAAAAAAUAUCAAAUAUGAGUCUUUUCUGACUGGCAUACGUGCUGGCUUGGAGCAGUGCCGCCUUUCUGUUUGGAGCCCUGACACCUUUCGCCUUCUCCGUUUCCUGUGUCCAGACUAGCCCAUUAAGAUUGUGACAUCUGAUCCCAGCCAGUGGGGAAAACACAAUCACCACCUUCCUCAGAAUAAAAGCCAGGAACUUCCUGCCCAGGACUCGGGCGCUAGGCUGCUGACAUAUCCCAGUACCAUGGGGCUGGCUAUUGUUUGGUACUGGAAGAGGCCAGUGGAACCAUGGUUCCUUCCUGCCAGAGGAAAGCUGUUCCUAUCCACUCUAGAAUUGCUUGUUUAUAAAAAGUGUCAACUGUGA